rnacentral:rRNA from 1 species
GGUUAAGCGACUAAGCGUACACGGUGGAUGCCUAGGCAGUCAGAGGCGAUGAAGGGCGUGCUAAUCUGCGAAAAGCGUCGGUAAGCUGAUAUGAAGCGUUAUAACCGACGAUACCCGAAUGGGGAAACCCAGUGCAAUACGUUGCACUAUCGUUAGAUGAAUACAUAGUCUAACGAGGCGAACCGGGGGAACUGAAACAUCUAAGUACCCCGAGGAAAAGAAAUCAACCGAGAUUCCCCCAGUAGCGGCGAGCGAACGGGGAGGAGCCCAGAGUCUGAAUCAGUUUGUGUGUUAGUGGAAGCGUCUGGAAAGUCGCACGGUACAGGGUGAUAGUCCCGUACACCAAAAUGCACAGGCUGUGAACUCGAUGAGUAGGGCGGGACACGUGACAUCCUGUCUGAAUAUGGGGGGACCAUCCUCCAAGGCUAAAUACUCCUGACUGACCGAUAGUGAACCAGUACCGUGAGGGAAAGGCGAAAAGAACCCCCGGCGAGGGGAGUGAAAUAGAACCUGAAACCGUGUACGUACAAGCAGUGGGAGCACCUUCGUGGUGUGACUGCGUACCUUUUGUAUAAUGGGUCAGCGACUUAUAUUUUGUAGCAAGGUUAACCGAAUAGGGGAGCCGUAGGGAAACCGAGUCUUAACUGGGCGUCUAGUUGCAAGGUAUAGACCCGAAACCCGGUGAUCUAGCCAUGGGCAGGUUGAAGGUUGGGUAACACUAACUGGAGGACCGAACCGACUAAUGUUGAAAAAUUAGCGGAUGACUUGUGGCUGGGGGUGAAAGGCCAAUCAAACCGGGAGAUAGCUGGUUCUCCCCGAAAGCUAUUUAGGUAGCGCCUCGUGAACUCAUCUUCGGGGGUAGAGCACUGUUUCGGCUAGGGGGCCAUCCCGGCUUACCAAACCGAUGCAAACUCCGAAUACCGAAGAAUGUUAUCACGGGAGACACACGGCGGGUGCUAACGUCCGUCGUGAAGAGGGAAACAACCCAGACCGCCAGCUAAGGUCCCAAAGUCAUGGUUAAGUGGGAAACGAUGUGGGAAGGCACAGACAGCCAGGAUGUUGGCUUAGAAGCAGCCAUCAUUUAAAGAAAGCGUAAUAGCUCACUGGUCGAGUCGGCCUGCGCGGAAGAUGUAACGGGGCUAAACCAUGCACCGAAGCUGCGGCAGCGACACUUAGGUGUUGUUGGGUAGGGGAGCGUUCUGUAAGCCGUUGAAGGUGACCUGUGAGGGUUGCUGGAGGUAUCAGAAGUGCGAAUGCUGACAUAAGUAACGAUAAUGCGGGUGAAAAACCCGCACGCCGGAAGACCAAGGGUUCCUGUCCAACGUUAAUCGGGGCAGGGUGAGUCGACCCCUAAGGCGAGGCUGAAAAGCGUAGUCGAUGGGAAACAGGUUAAUAUUCCUGUACUUGGUGUUACUGCGAAGGGGGGACGGAGAAGGCUAGGCUGGCCGGGCGACGGUUGUCCCGGUUUAAGCGUGUAGGGGGAGUGACCAGGUAAAUCCGGUUGCUUAUCAACCCUGAGGCGUGAUGACGAUGCACCACGGUGCAGAAGCAGUUGAUGCCAUGCUUCCAGGAAAAGCCUCUAAGCAUCAGGUAACAUUAAAUCGUACCCCAAACCGACACAGGUGGUCAGGUAGAGAAUACUCAGGCGCUUGAGAGAACUCGGGUGAAGGAACUAGGCAAAAUGGUGCCGUAACUUCGGGAGAAGGCACGCUGGCGUUAGGUGAAAGGACUAGCUCCUGGAGCUGAAGCCAGUCGCAGAUACCAGCUGGCUGCAACUGUUUAAUAAAAACACAGCACUGUGCAAACACGAAAGUGGACGUAUACGGUGUGACGCCUGCCCGGUGCUGGAAGGUUAAUUGAUGGGGUCAGCCGCAAGGGGAAGCUCUUGAUCGAAGCCCCAGUAAACGGCGGCCGUAACUAUAACGGUCCUAAGGUAGCGAAAUUCCUUGUCGGGUAAGUUCCGACCUGCACGAAUGGCGUAAUGAUGGCCAGGCUGUCUCCACCCGAGACUCAGUGAAAUUGAACUCGCUGUGAAGAUGCAGUGUACCCGCGGCAAGACGGAAAGACCCCGUGAACCUUUACUAUAGCUUGACACUGAACAUUGAGCCUUGAUGUGUAGGAUAGGUGGGAGGCCUUGAAGUGUGGACGCCAGUCUGCAUGGAGCCAACCUUGAAAUACCACCCUUUAAUGUUUGAUGUUCUAACUCGGCCCCAUGAUCUGGGGUGAGGACAGUGUCUGGUGGGUAGUUUGACUGGGGCGGUCUCCUCCCAAAGAGUAACGGAGGAGCACGAAGGUUAGCUAAUCACGGUCGGACAUCGUGAGGUUAGUGCAAAGGCAUAAGCUAGCUUGACUGCGAGAGUGACGGCUCGAGCAGGUACGAAAGUAGGUCUUAGUGAUCCGGUGGUUCUGAAUGGAAGGGCCAUCGCUCAACGGAUAAAAGGUACUCCGGGGAUAACAGGCUGAUACCGCCCAAGAGUUCAUAUCGACGGCGGUGUUUGGCACCUCGAUGUCGGCUCAUCACAUCCUGGGGCUGAAGUAGGUCCCAAGGGUAUGGCUGUUCGCCAUUUAAAGUGGUACGCGAGCUGGGUUUAGAACGUCGUGAGACAGUUCGGUCCCUAUCUGCCGUGGGCGUUGGAAGAUUGAGAGGGGCUGCUCCUAGUACGAGAGGACCGGAGUGGACGAAUCACUGGUGUUCGGGUUGUCAUGCCAAUGGCAUUGCCCGGUAGCUAAAUUCGGAAGAGAUAACCGCUGAAAGCAUCUAAGCGGGAAACUUGCCUCGAGAUGAGUCUUCCCUGGGGCUUAAAGCCCCCUGAAGGAACGUUAAAGACUAUGACGUUGAUAGGCUGGGUGUGUAAGUGCAGCGAUGUAUUGAGCUAACCAGUACUAAUGAUCCGUGAGGCUUAACCUU